rnacentral:rRNA from 1 species
GCUUGUCUCAAAGAUUAAGCCAUGCAGUCUAAGUACGAGCUCUCGUACAGCGAAACUGCGAAUGGCUCAUUAAAUCAGUUAUGGUUCAUUUGAUCGUACACGUUACUUGGAUAACUGUGGUAAUUCUAGAGCUAAUACAUGCUAAAAGCGCCGACUUCGGGAGGCGCGCAUUUAUCAGACCGCCGGCUCGGGCGUGUUCACGCGCGCCCGGUCCUCUGGUGACUCUGGAUAACUGAGCGGAUCGCACGGUCGUUGCACCGGCGACGAAUCAUUCAAGUGUCUGCCCUAUCAACUCGAGUCGGUACGGUCUCGGCCUACCGAGGUUCUUACGGGUGACGGGGAAUCAGGGUUCGGUUCCGGAGAGGGAGCCUGAGAAACGGCUACCACUUCCAAGGAAGGCAGCAGGCGCGCAAAUUACCCAUUCCCGACACGGGGAGGUAGUGACGAAAAAUAACGAUGCGGGACUCGAACGAGGCCCCGCAAUCGGAAUGAGUACACUGCAAAAGCUUUAACGAGUAUCGAUUGGAGGGCAAGUCUGGUGCCAGCAGCCGCGGUAAUUCCAGCUCCAAAAGUGUAUGCUUAAGUUGUUGCGGUUGAAAAGCUCGUAGUUGGAAUUCGAGCGCGGCGCGACGGUCCGCCGCAAGGCGAGCACUGUCGGGCCCGCUUUCGGGCCGCGAGCGGGCGCUGCUCUUGACCGAGUGGCGCGUCGGUCUCCGGCCGGAUUACUUUGAAAAAAUUAGAGUGUUCAAAGCAGGCCGAUUCGGGCUUGAAUAUCGACGCAUGGAAUAGUGGAACAGGGCUUCGGUUCUCUUCCGCCGGCGAGGAACGGAGGCAAUGAUUAAGAGGGACGGACGGGGGCAUUCGUACUGUGCCGUUAGAGGUGAAAUUCUUGGAUCGGCGCAGACGAC